CUGGUCUCAGGUCCACCCGUGCAAGAUGCCACAUGUUUCCUUGGUCUUCUCUCAUUCUCCACACCUCUUUAGCCACAUUUCCAUAUUGCAGAAGGUAGACACUCAGUCCCAUGGUCCAGCUGGAGCCAUACAUGUGAUACCAGAACUGAAGACACUGAGGUUGAGGAUCAGCACAUUCUGCACUGAGGAGACGGGCCGUGUCGCCAUGGACAGCACUGUCACCCUCAAUGUACAUGUAAAACCCACCUGGAACAGAAGUUGUUAAAACAAUUAUUAAUUUAUUGAUGCAAAAGAAUUCAUGUAAUGAUUUUGAUGUUAAAA